rnacentral:rRNA from 1 species
UACGUAGGGUGCAAGCGUUGUCCGGAAUUAUUGGGCGUAAAGAGCUCGUAGGCGGUCUGUCGCGUCGGAUGUGAAAAUCCAGGGCUCAACCCUGGACCUGCAUUCGAUACGGGCAGACUAGAGUUCGGUAGGGGAGACUGGAAUUCCUGGUGUAGCGGUGAAAUGCGCGGAUAUCAGGAGGAACACCGGUGGCGAAGGCGGGUCUCUGGGCCGAAACUGACGCUGAGGAGCGAAAGCGUGGGGAGCGAACAGG